rnacentral:rRNA from 1 species
GACGUAGGGGGCCAGCGUUGCUCGGAAUUACUGGGCGUAAAGGGUUCGUAGGUGGUGCGGCAAGUUGGGAGUGAAAUCUCUGGGCUUAACUCAGAGGCUGCUUUCAAAACUGCCGCGCUCGAGUGCGAGAGAGGUCAGUGGAAUUGCAGGUGUAGCGGUGAAAUGCGUAGAGAUCGGGAGGAACACCAGAGGCGAAGGCGGCUAGCUGGACAGUCACUGACACUCAACUACGAAAGCGUGGGGAGCAAACAGG